UUGUCUUUUGCUGCAUGGCUGCUGACUUAGCAGCAGUUGGGUCUCUAUAGGUUUAGGAUUUGUUUGGAUUUGAAUAUCAUUUUCUAUUUUCAUAUCUAUGGGAAUGUCGUCAAAAGACCCUUGUGGUCAGGCCCUUCCCCGGACCUCGCGCAUAGCGUGAGCUUAGUGCACCGGGCUGCCCUUUUUAGUUUAUUUCCAGAGAGCUUGUUUCUUGAGUUGAAAAUCCUGUUAAUAGUUCUUUUGGGUACAAAUUCCAGAUUCUGAAGCAGAACGACAUUUGAUUUAUAGAAACCCUACUGCUUCAUAGCUUCAAGUAGAAGCUAGAUAAUAAGGAAUUAGAGGAAAAGGGGAAGUAGAUUUGACAGAGGAAAUCAUCGACUAUAUCUCGACCUUUUUUUUUUCUGGGGGUGUCAAGAAAGAGUGUUCGAUUUGUGUUUACUUGUGGAAUGAAAGAGUGGGUCUGACAGGAGUGGUAGAGGGAGAAGUGAAUGUGAGUUGGAGAGAAUCGCGCUUGUGUCUCAUUAAGCUACGGUUGAACCUGUUUUUUUCCCACUUUAAGAGAGCCCAAUGGAAACAGCUCUAAUCAUUUUGAAAAUUUGACAGGUUGAGCACGCGAAGCAAGAUGACGCAUUAUCAGAUCUCAGUAGCCUGUUGGGAGAGCUCAAACAUAUGGCUGUUGACAUGGGAUCUGAAAUAGAGAGGCAGAACAAAUCCCUGGAUCAUCUUCAAGAUGAUGUAGAUGAGCUCAAUUUCAGAGUUAAAGGUGCCAACCGGCGUGGUCGCCGCUUACAGGGAAAAUAACCUAGCAUUUAUCUCAUGUAUUAGCACUAGAUAUUCACGUGUGCUCAUGCUUGUCUUUUUAGUUUGUUAUUUCAACUC